UACAGAGGGGGCAAGCGUUGUUCGGAAUUACUGGGCGUAAAGGGCGCGUAGGCGGUCUGUCGCGUCGGUCGUGAAAACUUGGGGCUUAACCCUGAGCUUGCGGUCGAUACGGGCAUGACUGGAGUUCGGCAGGGGAGACUGGAAUUCCUGGUGUAGCGGUGAAAUGCGCAGAUAUCAGGAGGAACACCGGUGGCGAAGGCGGGUCUCUGGGCCGAUACUGACGCUGAGGAGCGAAAGCGUGGGGAGCGAACAGG
rnacentral:rRNA from 1 species